rnacentral:rRNA from 1 species
AGUGAACGCUGGCGGUAGGCCUAACACAUGCAAGUCGAACGGCAGCACAGUAAGAGCUUGCUCUUACGGGUGGCGAGUGGCGGACGGGUGAGGAAUACAUCGGAAUCUACUUUUUCGUGGGGGAUAACGUAGGGAAACUUACGCUAAUACCGCAUACGACCUACGGGUGAAAGCAGGGGAUCUUCGGACCUUGCGCGAUUGAAUGAGCCGAUGUCGGAUUAGCUAGUUGGCGGGGUAAAGGCCCACCAAGGCGACGAUCCGUAGCUGGUCUGAGAGGAUGAUCGGCCACACGGGAACUGAGACACGGCCCAGCCUCCUAGGGGAGGCAGCAGGGGGGAAUAUUGGCCGUGGGGCGCAAGCUUGACCCAGCCAUACGCGUGGGUGAAGAAGGCCUUCGGGUUGUAAAGCCCUUUUGUUGGGAAAGAAAAGCAGCAGGUUAAUACCCCGCUGUUCUGACGGUACCCAAAGAAUAAGCACCGGCUAACUUCGUG